CAGGAAUCUUGUUUUGUUAUAGUAUUUGUAGACUUCGUGAUAUUAUGAGUCCUUGUUUAAAUAUAUUUCCGUCUUUGGAUUCUGAAUGUACAUAGGUUUUUUUUUCCUCUUCAUCUAAAUGGAAUAAGGGUAAUCGGGUUAUCGG